GGGCGAUUAACUCAGUUGGUUCAGAGUGCCUCCCUUACAAGGAGGAAGUCGGGGGUUCGAGUCCCUCAUUGCCCACCA
rnacentral:tRNA from 5 species